rnacentral:rRNA from 1 species
GAGUUUGAUCAUGGCUCAGGACGAACGCUGGCGGCGUGCUUAACACAUGCAAGUCACGGGGGCCCGCAAGGGCAACCGGCGAACGGGUGCGUAACACGUGAGCAAGCUUCCGAUUUGUGGGGGAUAGCCGGCCUAACGGCCGGGUAAUACCGCAUACGUUCACUGGGCGGCAUCGUCUGGUGAGGAAACCUCCGGGGCAAAUCGAGGCGCUCGCGGCCUAUCAGCUAGUUGGCGGGGUAAUGGCCCACCAAGGCGACGACGGGUAGCUGGUCUGAGAGGAUGGCCAGCCACAUUGGGACUGCGACACGGCCCAGACUCCUACGGGAGGCAGCAGUGGGGAAUAUUGCGCAAUGGACGAAAGUCUGACGCAGCGACGCCGCGUGUGGGAUGAAGCUCUUCGGGGUGUAAACCACUGUUGCCCGGGACGAAAUGCCCUUUCGAGGGAAUUGACGGUACCGGGUGAGGAAGCACCGGCUAACUCUGUGCCAGCAGCCGCCGCGGUAAU